rnacentral:rRNA from 1 species
UACGUAGGGUGCAAGCGUUGUCCGGAAUUAUUGGGCGUAAAGAGCUCGUAGGCGGUUUGUCGCGUCUGCUGUGAAAACCUAAGGCUCAACCUUGGGCUUGCAGUGGGUACGGGCAGACUAGAGUGCGGUAGGGGAGUGUGGAAUUUCCGGUGUAGCGGUGAAAUGCGCAGAGAUCGGAAGGAACACCCGUAGCGAAGGCGGCACUCUGGGCCGGUACUGACGCUGAGGAGCGAAAGCGUGGGGAGCAAACAGG